AGCUACAUCCCCAACCCUACAGGGUCUCACUGAGUUGCUGAGCUCCUUGCCAUUGUUGAGGCUGGAUUUUGAACUGGCAGUCCUCCUGCCUCAGCCUCCCAAGUCGCUGGGAUUACAGUUAUGUGCUACCACGCCCAGCCUGCCCUCCAACCUUAUCCUUCUUGUUUCUGGGAUUAUAGGCAUGUACCACUGCAUGCCCAGCAUUAUCUUUCUCCGGAAUUAAUGGCUUCUGUUGUUCUCAGAGCUAGCAUAGAUGUUACAAACAGCAAGUUUGGGUUUUUCUUUUCUUUUUUUUUAAAAUUUUUUUUUUUAUUUGUAGGUGGACACAAUACCUUUAUUUUUAUUAUGUGGUGCUGAGGAUUGAACCCAGUGCCUCAUGUGCGCUAGGCAAACGCUCCUCCACUGAGCCACAACCCCAGCCCCUGUUUUUUUCCUUUUUGUGGUUCUGGAGUUCAAACCCAAGGCCUCACACACUGUACCACUGGGCUAUAUCCCCAGCCCAUAAAUAGUAAGUUUGUAUGGGCAAGGUCAAUCAGAAUUAAAGCAUUGUUAUCAUAGCAGAUUUGGUUGGUUGGACAAUGAACCAAGCUGUGAACUCUCUUCAUCUGCUCCAAAAGAUAAUGCAAAGGCAGGAUAGUAAUCCCAGGUUCAAGUAAUCCCAGGUUCAAAAAGACCUGGGGGCGGCUUGGGUUGUGGCUCAGUGUUAGAGUGCGCGCCUGGCAUGUGUGAGGUACUGGAUUCGAUUCUCAGCACCACAUACAAAUAAAUAAAGGUCCAUAACAACUAAAAAAAAAAAUA
rnacentral:lncRNA from 1 species